rnacentral:lncRNA from 1 species
CCCAACCCAGGAAUUGAACCCAGGUCUCCCGCGUUCUUUACUGUCUGAGCCACCAGCCAUCACAACAUUGUUAAUUGGCUAUCCUCCAAUAUAAAAUACAAGGUUUAAUAAAAAACCAGUGGGGGCGGGGGGAAAGAAACAAGGACACAAACCACAGAAGCUACUCAGGUCAAAAAAGACACGUGCACUGUGGCGACCUGUCCAGCCAUCAGUUUGUAACGUCUGAUGACAUGACAUUUGAAGUCUCUUCUAGCUCUGGCAUUUGGCAGGUAAGUGGAGGUGGCUUGUUUCUGCUGUGAAGUGACAUGUACAAUAAGAAUAAACCUGGGUGCCUUCAGUCUGAGGCAACACUGGUGAAGCCUGGACCUGAUCACAGGAGACACACGUUCUCCAGCUGAUGGCUUUUUGUCUGACCUUGGCUGAGAGCCUGGAGUCUCCCUCCUCCCUUCACGGACAACAUGGCUGCCCUCCCUCCUGCUCCCCGUCCAGCUGGAGGCUACCACGUCAGCUGAUGACCUUGUCAUCCCCCCCCACCACCGGUGCCUCCAGACACACAGAAGUCCUGGACAAAAUAUAACCAAGAUAUGUUUUAAAUUUUGAGCCAGACUGAAAAGAAAGAAAGAAAACAGGAGGCAAAAAGAAGCUAUAAAGUGGAACCGACUGAGGCUGGAGAGCCAGGCAGAUAGAGGUCCCCACGGCACACACAAAGCGGGAUCCAGCUUUCAUCACACAGGGAGCAGACCCGGGACCCCAACGCUAAGCAGACCUGCGGAACUGCCUCUUCCACGAAGAGAGACUUGGGGGGAAAAGUCUCUCCCAGUGGCUCAGAGAAUGGCAGAGAGGCAUCAUCUGCCUGCAGCACCAGAGGGAAAGAAGAAGUUCUCCCAAGUGAAACUGAAAUCUCACGACUGAGGUUCCCACAGAAGAAGUCUGAAUGUGAACUCCCCUCAGGGUGCCAGGACCCCAAGCUGUGGAAUUCAUAGAAAACCAUUCACAGCUUGCAGACGGAAACACAGAACCCGUUUCUCUGCUCUUCCAUGACCCAGGCCAUUGGGACGCCCACUGGAAAAAACUAACCUCCACUGCAAAGAAGUUGAAACCUAAGACAGUAAGAGGACAGGACCCAGGCCAGGAGGGCAGCAGACGGGACCCUGGGAGGCGCCAAAGCAGCACUCACCCAAAGCAAAUCCCAAGCUGGGCCUGGACUCGGAGUGCAGGGGAAGUGAACUGUGAGGCCCCAGGACUUCACCAUGCACAGCAGAAUUCUCUACUUUCAGCCUCUGUGGUCUUGGAGGAGCCACUGGGCAGCCCAGGGUUUCUCUGGAAGAGUCGGCAGACUUUACCCGGAUGCAGCUCUAUUAAAAUGUCUGUCUUCUCAGGCAUAACUUAAAAGU